rnacentral:lncRNA from 1 species
UACCACAAGAUCUACACCUUCAUCACCAUAAUGCCAAGGAGAAUCAGCCUUAAUAACAACAAAAGAAACAUGAACAGUGUCACCUUCAUACUUAACAUCAUGUGAGAAACAUUCAUCUCUAUCUAUCACAAAUCUUAUCCCUUCUGUUUCUUUCCAAUUCAACAACAUCCCAAUCAAAACAAUCACCAUGACACAACAACUAUGUCUCAUCAUCAUCUGCACCCAAGAUUAAAUAAAUAAUUAUUAAUAAACCCCAAAAUUAAAAUUAAAAAAUAAAUCAAGAAAAUAAAAAAGAUAGAACCAUUGUUUGUUUCUUGGAUUCACUUCUCUGAGAUUUUGGACAAGA